rnacentral:rRNA from 1 species
UGGGGAAUUUUGCACAAUGGGGGAAACCCUGAUGCAGCGACGCCGCGUGAUUUAGAAGGCCUUCGGGUUGUAAAAAUCUUUUCUAUGGGAAGAAAAUGACAGUACCAUAGGAAUAAGGACCGGCUAAUUACGUGCCAGCAGCCGCGGUAAUACGUAAGGUCCGAGCGUUGUCCGGAAUCAUUGGGCGUAAAGGGUACGUAGGCGGGUAAGCAAGUUAGAAGUGAAAUCCUAUAGCUCAACUAUAGUAAGCUUUUAAAACUGCUCAACUUUAGGUAUGGAAGGGAAAGUGGAAUUCCUAGUGUAGCGGUGAAAUGCGCAGAUAUUAGGAGGAAUACCGGUGGCGAAGGCGACUUUCUGGCCAUAACCUGACGCUGAGGUACGAAAGCGUGGGUAGCAAACAGG